GAUGAACGCUGGCGGCGUGCUUAAUACAUGCAAGUCGAGCGGAAAGACGAUGAGUUUGCUGGUUUGUCGAUAGCGGAAGGCGUGAGUAAAACGCGUGGAUAACGUCCCUAUAAGUGUGAUAUCAUUACGAGACAGCGGCGAAAAUACCGUAGAAGCUAUUGAACCGCAGGGUUGGAUAGUGAAAGUCGGCUGUGGGGGCUGGACUCGAGGCUUACGAGCUGGAUGGUGUGGUAGGGGCUUACAACGGCUUUGACGGGUAGGCGGCCUGCGAGGGUGACCGGCCACCUUGGGACUGCGAUACGGCCCAGACUCCUACGGGAGGCAGCAGUGGGGAAUCUUGCACAAUGGGCGGAAGCCUGAUGCGGCAACGCCGCGUGCGGGAUGACGGCCUUCGGGUUGUAAACCGCUUUCGCCUGUGACGAAGCGUGAGUGACGGUAAUGGGUCAAGAAGCACCGGCUAACUACGUG
rnacentral:rRNA from 1 species